CAACCUCUGCCUCCCGGGUUCAAGUGAUUCUCCUGCCUCUGCUUCCUGAGUAGCUGGGAUUACAGGUAUCUGCCACCACUCCAGGUUAAUUUUUUCUAUUUUUAGUAGAGACGGAAUUUCACCAUGUUGACCCAGCUGGUUUUGAACUCCUGACCUCAGGUGAUUCACUUGCCUUGGCCUCCCAAAGUGUUGAGAUUACAGGCAUGAGUCACUGCACCCAGCCAAAAAUGUUUUUUUAGGCAAUGCAUGCACAAACAUUUAGAGGCCAAGUGUGUCAUGAUGUCUGCAACUUUCAAUGUUCAGCAAAAAUCAACAUGGAGAGAGAAAGAGGGCACACAUGUGGCAAAAUAUUAGCCAUUGUACAAUUGGUAAAUCUAGAUGACAGUACACAGGUGUUUGUUGUAUUAUUCUUUGAACUUUUCUGUAGAUUUGGAAAUGUUCUGCGUAGAGAGAAAUCUUUUUUUAAAAAAACAAUAUCUGGUUUUGAUUAAUGAGGCUAUAUUCAAAAGAAACACUAAAUGAUGUGGCCAGUUAGUGAGAAUGUAGCCUUAUCUUUACUGACCUCAUUUUAAUAUUCCUACUCUGGCUGGGCAUGGUGGCUCACGCCUAUAAUCCCAGCACUCUGGGAGGCCGAGACGGGUGGAUCACCUGAGGUCAGGGGUUCGAGACCAGCCUGGCCAACAUGGUGAAACCCCAUCUCUACUAAAAAUACAAAAAUUAGCUGGGUGUGGUGGUAGGCGCCUGUAAUCCCAGCUACUCGGGAGUCCGUGGCAGGAGAAUCGCUUGAACCCAGGAGGUGGAGGUUGCAGUGAGCUGAGAUCACGCCAUUGCACUCCAGCCUGGGUGACAAGAGCAAAACUCAGUCUCAAAAAAAAAAAAGAAAAAAAAAGAUAUAUAUAUUCCUACUCUUAUUAAAUGAAUAUAGCAUUUCUUAGCAACUUCUUUUGAUUUGUGAGUAUAUAUUUUCUUGGCCUCAAAAUUAAAGUAAAAAGUAUCCUCUUACUCAGAGGAGGACAGGGGCAAGAGCCUGGGACCUUAUUUGCUAAUUAAAAUGCACACACACACACACACACACAGAAAUUUUGAGAGCCAUUUUAAUAUAAUUGCCUCCCUAGAAACAUACCUUUUAGGGAAUUUUUAUCACUAAACCACAUGUUAUUUAAAUACGUACAUGUUUAACAUAAAUACAUACAUAAAAUUCACAUGCAUACUUAACACUUAUGUUAAAUAUAUUCAAUGUAUAUACAUAUGUACACAAUAUAUGCAUAUAUACAUGUGGGUAUGUGGUAUGUGUGCAUGUGUGUGUAUGGCCAGCUACAUAAUUUGUGGGACUAAGGGCAAAAUGAAACUGUACGGCCCUCGUUCAAAAAUUAGGUGUGGGGUGCUUCUAAGCACAGUCUUGUGCAACUGCACAGGUUGCAUGUCCAUGAAGCCAUCCUGUGUGUGUGCACAUAUGUGUAUGAAUAUGUAUUUUAUAUAAUACAUAUAUAUGCAUGUAUGUAUCUGAGAAGAAAUGUUUAAAAGGCUACAUACAAGCUUUUCCAGGUCUCUACUAUCUGUUAACUAACUAGAGACAUAACUCACAAUAUGCAGUCCCCACUGAGUGUUCACCAUAAUUUGAGAUUCUUGGCAUGUUAACUUUUCAUUAUGGAAUAUUGAAUAAUUUCAAUAUUAUUCAUACAUUUCUUUAUGUUCAAACAUACACAAAAAUAGAAUAAUGAAACUCUACCCAUCACCCAGCUGCAACAAAUAUCAAUACUUUACCGUUCUUAAUACAUCUAACCCCUUACUUUUUGUUUGUUUCUUUUGGUGAAGUAUUUAAUUGUAAUUUUUUUUUUAAGAGACAGGAUCUCACUCUGUCACCCAGGCCAGAGUACAGUGGUACGAUCACAGCUCCUUGUAACCUCGAACUCCUAGGCUCAAGUGAUCCUCCUGCCUCAGCCGCUUGAAUAGCUGGGACUACAUGCAUACACCAACACACCCAACUAAUUUUUAAAUUUUUUGUAGAAAUAUGGUCUUGCUGUGUUUCCCAGGCUGGUCUCAAACUCCUGGCCUUGAGAGAUUCUCCUGCCUUGGUCUUCCAAACUGCUGGGAUUACAAUAUCCGGCCCUACUGGAAUAUUUUAAAGUAAAUCUCAGGUGUUACAUCAUUGCACUUGUAAGUACUUUAAAAUGUAUCUCUAGCAGAUAAAUCUUUUUAACAAAACCACAGCAUCAUUGUCACACUCAAAAAAUUGACAAGAUUUCCUUAAUUAUCAUAUAAUAGUCUGUAUUGUUUCUAUCUCAAAAAUACAGUUUUCUUGGUUGUUGAAAUCUAGAUCCAACAUUGCAUUUGGUUGAUGUGUCUCCUUUACUCUGUAAAAUUUACCCCUGCGUUUUAGUUCUUUUCGGCUUUUAUUUGUCCUGUGGAAUUUCCUCCACUCAGGAUUUGACUGAGAGUAUCCCCAGAGUGUCCAGUUAGACCUAGAAGCUGGAUUUGAUCCUGGUUCAUUUAUUUUCCCCCAAGAAUACUCCAUAGGUGAUGCUAUACACUUUCUCUUACAUCAUUUCAGGAGGAACAUGAUGUCUGAUUGUUCCACUUUCAGUGAUUUUAAUAUUGAUCAAUGAGUUCUGGUGGUACCAACUACUACAAAGUUUCUCAUCAAUCUUUCACCUGAUGGUUUUAGCAGCUAUUGAUAAUUGUUGCCUGGAUCCAUUAUUUCAUUUCAGGGGUUGUAAAAUAGUGAUUUUCUGGUUCUAUCAAACCUCUUGCAUUUAUCAUCUAUGAUUCUUCUUUAAGGAACUUUCUCUAAAUCUGAAUGGGAAAGAUGCGAUAAAUAUUUAUCAAAUUUUAGAGUGAGUUAGUGCCCUAGCAACCUCCACAGUUGACAAAUGAGUAUUUCUUUAAAGCAAGGUAUGGCCCAACCAAUACUUUGAAACUAGCAUGUUUAGAAUAGAGCAGGAGGAAACUAUAUUUGAAAGGUCAGAAGUGGAAAGACUAAGAGGGCCUGAACAAUAAGAGGACAGAACCAAGAGGAGUUGGCAACUAAUUGGAUGUGGGGAUUAAGGAAAGGUAAGCAUCAAAGAUUACCUCCAAGUUUGUUAGAAGGUUAGUAGCAGGAUUCUGAUGCCAUUCAAGUAAAUACAAGUCUCAGUCAGAUGAACCCCAAGAGCCACAUGUAUUUGAGGGGUACUUUGUCUCACACUUUUACCUGUUACAUGGUUUUCAGUAAUUUAGAAUUUAAGCCAGUAGUGGGGCGACUGUACAUCUAUCGACAUGGUGAGGUAGAGCAUGUUUGGGAGGAAAGACGUUGAAUCCCAUUUGGUGACAGUGAGCUUGAGGUGCUGCCAGAACACUGCACUGAAGAUAGGAGGAGACUGUAGGAAAUACAAGAUAGGAAAGGUCUCCACUGAAAUGUUAACUCUUUCUCUCUAAACGGCCAUCCAGGCCUCAAUGUCUGCAGUUUCUGAUCUGUGAUUAUGACUUAUCCAAAUCUUACAUUUCUUAAAAAUAGUCAUAGAUGAAGGGAAUCACAGUUGAUAGUUAUAUGGUGACAUUAUUGGCUUAAAUUCUAAAUAACUAGAAACUGUAUAAUAGGCAAAACUGUGAGGCAAAUAAAAUGCUUCUCAAAUCUGUGUGGCUCUUAUGGGGUUAAUUUGAUUUGGACCUGUAUUAAUUUCUUAUGGCUGCUAUAACUAACAAAUUACCACAAACUUGGUGGUUUAAAACAACACACAUUUAUUCUCUUUCUGUUCUGGAGGCCAGAAGUCUAAAAUGAGAUUCACUGGGCUGCAGUUCACUGGGCAAGGCCAUGCUCCUCUGGAGGCUUCCAUGAUGCAUCCCAUAUUCAGUGUUUCCCGAGUAAGCCCCACCCAUGCAGGUCUGCAGUUUUACCUCAACAGGCUUUUGCACUCAGUGGCUCUCUCCUGUGGUUUCUAUCUGAAAUUCUCUUCAUUUUUUUUUUAAUAACUGCUUUAUUGAGAUAUAAUUCACAUGCCAUACAAUUCACCUAUACAGUAUACAAUUCAGUAGUGUUUACUAUAUUCAGAGUUGUGCAACUAUCAUUUUUCUCACCCCCAAAAGAAACCCUAUGCCCGUUAGUAUUCACUCUGUUUUCUCACAACUCUAGGUAACCACUAAUCUACUCUCCAUCUCUAUAGAUUUGCCCAUGCUAGACAUUUCAUAUAAAUGGAAUCAUACAUGUGGUCUUUUUCACUGAGUAUAUUUUCAAGGUGCAUCCCAGCUGUGGCAUGAAUCAGCAUCUCAUUCCUUUUUAUUGCCAAAUAAUAUUCUAUCAUAUGGAUAUGUCGCAUUUUAUGUAUCCAUUCAUCAGCUGAUGGACAUUUGGGUUGUUUGUACUUUUUGGCUACCAUGAAUAAUGCUACUAUGAACUUUUGUGUACAAAUCUUAUGUGGACUUGUUUUCAUUUCUCUUGGAUGUAUAUUCCUAGGAGAAUGGCUGGAUUAUACAGUAACUCUUUCCUCAUAACUUUGCAUAUCAAAAUUAUAUCCAUCUUUCAGAACCCAAAUUCAGUGUUAUUUCCAAAGUGUUCCAACAUCUCCCACUCAAAAUGAAUCUUCUCCCUAGUACUCCCAUUGUUUAGUACCUAAUUGUUCUUACCAGUUUGUCUUAGAGCUCAGUCAUUCCUACACAGCACUUUUCUUCAUUAUACUGCUAAUUUCAUUACACUGUAAGAGUGGGGACAAGCUGUUCUUCUUGUAUACCAGAAAGUAGUGAGUGCACUGCUGUGAAGAAAGCAGGAACUCAAAAGUUAAGAAUUUUGAAUGAGCCUAUAAAAUGUGUCUAAUAAAUAAUAAUGUUCAUUUUCAAAUCUCAACAAUUAAAUGUUUAACAAAUAACACUUGAAAUAAAUGUUUAUUAG
rnacentral:lncRNA from 1 species